CCUACGGGGGGCUGCAGUGGGGAAUAUUGCACAAUGGGGGAAACCCUGAUGCAGCAACGCCGCGUGAGGGAAGAAGGCCUUCGGAUCGUAAAGCUCUGUUGUUAGGGAAGAACAAGUACGUGAGGAAAUGACCAUACCUUGCCAACAACUUACCAGCAACCGCCGGUGAACUACGUGCCAGCACCCGCGGCAGUACGAAGGGGGCAAGCGUUGUCCGGAAUUGUUGUGCGGAAAAGGCGCGUAGGCGGUCUUCUAAGUCAGGUGUGAAAACUUAGGGCUCAACUGCAAGCGGUCAUUUGAAACUGGGGGGCUUGAGUGCAGAAGAGGAAGGCGGAAUUCCAGGUGUAGCGGUGAAAUGCGUAGAGAUGGGGAGGAACACCAGUGGCGAAGGCGGCUUGCUGGUCUGUAACUGACGCUGAGGCGCGAAAGCGUGGGGAGCAAACAGGAUUAGAUACCCUAGUAGUC
rnacentral:rRNA from 1 species